rnacentral:misc_RNA from 1 species
GAACAAAAAAAAAAUACUAAAGAACGGGCUCCGAAUUAAAGGAAAAUUGGAAAAAUCAAGGAAAAAUCGCUGGGGCAGCGGCAUCUGCGAAACGGUACGGAAAAGCGCGCGUGCGGUUAGCGGGCAAACGGUGCGGCGACGGCAAACGGAUUCGCCAGCGGCGGCAGUGCGCAAAUGUAAAAUGCACGGAAUAUUCGCAUGUGCAGUGUGAUAAUAAAUAAACGCCACAAAUCGGAGCGACGACGCAGGGGCAAACACACCAAUACCUACGCAAACACCCCCAAACACACACACACUCAUAUACUGAAGUGCGCGUGUGUAUUCCCUGCUGUUGUUGUUGUUGUUGUUGUUUUUCUUCCUCCCCCCCACCACUAGUGUAUGCGUGUUAUCAGAAAACGAAACGAGUAACCAAAAAGGAGCUGCAAAAAAAAGAAAACAGGAGGAGAAAAAUAAGGAGACAACAAGAAGAACCCACGCAGCUCUGCUUAUCACACUGCGCAUGCGAAUAAGAAGCCCCAGGAUUGUGGCCAGAAAGGAUUAGCUUUAAGGAUCGCGAGCCCGUUGA